rnacentral:sRNA from 1 species
UUUUUAAUUUCAUUAGGUAUAGGUAAUCUCUGUAAUUCUCUUCAAUUAUUUUGUCAUAAAAAUUUUAAAGGCUUUAAAUUAAUCAGUGUUAUGUUUACAGGUUAUAGAUGCCAACAGCUCUUUGGAAGACAUGGAAAUAGCAUAUGAGAAGCACAGAGAAAAAAUUUUACCUUUCAUUUCUUCCUCGUCUCUCCCAGUUGAAACAUUGGAGGACUUGGCCAUUAGAUCAGCCGAGUCUGUCACUCUCUAGUCUCUGAACUGAAACUGGCUCAAGUAUCUAGAUCAGAGAUAACAGCACACUGGUCUGCAUGCUCUGGAGAAAGAUUUAUU